UACGUAGGUGGCAAGCGUUAUCCGGAAUUAUUGGGCGUAAAGCGCGCGCAGGUGGUUUCUUAAGCCUGAUGUGAAAGCCCACGGCUCAACCGUGGAGGGUCAUUGGAAACUGGGAGACUUGAGUGCAGAAGAGGAAAGUGGAAUUCCAUGUGUAGCGGUGAAAUGCGUAGAGAUAUGGAGGAACACCAGUGGCGAAGGCGACUUCUGGUCUGUAA
rnacentral:rRNA from 1 species